CCUUGUGACGGCACACGUCCAGUGUUGAACUUUGGAUCGCCGAAAAGUGAGUACAGAAUUUCAAAGGAUGGCUAAGCUUGCGCCAACUGUUGAUGACUUGAUCGAGGAUCUACAAUGUCCGGUGUGUUUGGAAGUUUUGCAAGAUCCAGUAUCCCAGGGCUGUGGUCACAACCUCUGUAAGCUCUGUAUGGAGAAAGUUUGUGCUGGAAAUGCUUACGUCUCCUGUCCAGUUUGCAGGAAGACAUUUCCCGCCAAAGAUUAUGCAGUCAAUAAACUGCUUACCAUGUUAUUGGAAAAUGUUCAGAAGUCGCUACUAGACAAGUCCGAGAACCCGCUGCCGUCCAACAUGUGCCCGGAGCAUAUCGAGCCACUUAAAUUGUUCUGCAAAACCGAUGGCAACCUGGGUUGUGUUGUAUGCAUGGUGUCCUCUGUUCAUGAGGAUCAUAUAUUCAUUCCAGUACAGGAAGCAGUUACCACGUACCGGAAAGAUCUGAAUAUAACCUUGAGCGCUCUAACUUUGUUAUCAAAAAAUCUCUCCGAACUGCAAAACCAACAGGAUGAGAAGAUCAGUAGCAUUCAGGAAAUAUCCAACCGUCUGGAGCAGCAUAUUAAGACACAGUUUGCCAAGCUAUACGAGAGCCUUCAGAUGAUGGAACAGCAGUGCAUCCAAGAUUUGAAACAAGAAGCAUUUCAAGCACUUAAAAAGAUGAAGGAAAACUUGUGUGGAAUUACAGAAAAGAAGAACCGUUCAGCAACAGAUGGUCGCCCUUAAAUACAGGAUGGAGGAGAUUGAUCCUUUACGCUUUCUAACAGGUAUCAAGGAUGACACAGAUAAGUUUGCAAAAAGCCAAACGAUUGUUUUGUCUGAGUUGACACCGGUGACCCAUAGCCUUAGUCCAGGGAAGUUCCAUGACUUUCUACAUUAUGAUAACUGGAAUGACUUUAAAGUUCAUCUUAGACCUGGUA